rnacentral:lncRNA from 1 species
UUCUCAUUUAUCAACUCGGCAGAUGACAAGGUUCUUGUUAAUUGCAUAAUAUUCCAUAAGCCAAUAUCAGGUUGAUUUGCAAAACAAUAUCUCCUCUGUGGAAGAUCCGUCGUAUUGGGGGUGUAACUAGGAUCAAAUGCAUCAAGAAAUCCAAAAGGACCAUAAUCAAUGGUGAGGCCCAAAAUGCUCAUAUUGUCAGUGUUCAACACACCAUGAGUAAAACCAACCCCCUGCCAUUUGGCAACCAAGGACGCAGUACGUUCAGCAAUCUCCACCACCCAGGCUGUUAAGAACCAUCAUGCAAGUAAAAUGACAACAAAACAAUUAAUCAGCAAUCCAUGUGGAACAUUUGCAUCAGAAGUUAUUUGGGCAUGGCCAGUAUGGGUAGAUGUGACUAAAAGACCAACACUUUGCAUCAAGGGAGAUUUUUCCUAUUUAAAAAUCAGUACCCCAAGUGGCAAACAUAGCAAUGAAAAUGCACAAGAUAGAAGUUCAUGAUUAAUGAAGUCUUUUCUUUUCUUCCCCUUAAUCCAUGUCUUCAACAAGUUCAUGUUUAAAUGGACCAAGAUCAACAACAGACAUCUAAUUGAACUCACAUGCAUGAUGAAAAUGCAUGUUUGUGCAGUAUACAAGCGGUGAGCUAACUCUUUGUAUACGUCACAAUACGUAUAUGUAAGCGCAUAUACCUCUAGAUAAAUCCCUGAACGGCUGGACAUAAAAGGGCAUAUAAUUGCUAUUCUUUCACACCAAAAUAUCAGUUGGACAAAAGAAGCACUCAAUUUCAUCUUUCACUUUUCACUCCCCAAGGAGAGUACAAAACUAGAUGAGUUGUGAAAACUUCGAGAAAACUACUGUCCAUAUAUGUUUACAGGGGAACGACUAGAUCUGUCACUACUAACUUUGUGUGCAUGAGUACACUAACUUUUUAGACAAAAGUAAAAGAAAAGAGUAUGAGUUAACUCCUACUACAAUGGCCUGACAAAGACAUAGGAAAGCAUAAGAUAAGGAAACUAUGACCAGCAAAUUUAAUACUGAACUUGGGAUUUGACCUUUCAAUUCAUAACACAAGACGAAAAAAUUAUCAUGCAUCUUCGUGAACCUAUAAAGAUCAUUACCUGCAUACUUAUUAGAUGUUAGAUCAACGAUUUCAUGUUCUUCGUUGCCCGUAUUGAACGAUAAACUCUCACUUCUACUCAUGUUCUCUAUAUGUGGGAA